UCCUGGCUCAGGAUGAACGCUAGCGGCAGGCUUACACAUGCAAGUCGAGGGGUAACAGUUCCGCUUCGGUGGAAGCUGACGACCGGCGCACGGGUGAGUAACGCGUAUGCAACUUACCUCUAACUGGAGGAUAGCCCGGGGAAACCCGGAUUAAUACUCCAUAACAUUUUCGGGUUUCAUGGCUUGAAGAUUAAAACUCAGGUGGUUAGAGAUGGGCAUGCGUGCCAUUAGCUAGUUGGUAAGGUAACAGCUUACCAAGGCUACGAUGGCUAGGGGGUCUGAGAGGAUGAUCCCCCACACUGGUACUGAGACACGGACCAGACUCCUACGGGAGGCAGCAGUGAGGAAUAUUGGUCAAUGGGCGCAAGCCUGAACCAGCCAUGCCGCGUGCAGGAUGAAGGUCCUACGGAUCGUAAACUGCUUUUAUACGGGAAGAAAGAUUUUAAUUUAUUAGGAUUUGACUGUACCGUAAGAAUAAGGAUCGGCUAACUCCGUGCCAGCAGCCGCGGUAAUACGGAGGAUCCUAGCGUUAUCCGGAUUCACUGGGUUUAAAGGGUGCGUAGGCGGAAUAGUAAGUCGAUGGUGAAAGCCUGCAGCUUAACUGUAGAAUUGCCAUCGAUACUGUUAUUCUUGAGUACAGUUGAGGUGGGUGGAAUGUGUAAUGUAGCGGUGAAAUGCGUAGAUAUUACACAGAAUACCGAUUGCGCAAGCAGCUCACUAAACUGUUACUGACGCUGAGGCACGAAAGCGUGGGUAGCAAACAGGAUUAGAUACCCUGGUAGUCCACGCUGUAAACGAUGAUCACUCGCUGUUGGCGAUACACAGUCAGCGGCCAAGCGAAAGCGAUAAGUGAUCCACCUGGGGAGUACGUCCGCAAGAAUGAAACUCAAAGGAAUUGACGGGGGCCCGCACAAGCGGAGGAACAUGUGGUUUAAUUCGAUGAUACGCGAGGAACCUUACCUGGGCUUAAAUGCAUAACGACGUACCGGGAAACCGGUAUUCCUUCGGGCGUUUUGCAAGGUGCUGCACGGCUGUCGUCAGCUCGUGCCGUGAGGUGUCGGGUUAAGUCCCAUAACGAGCGCAACCCCUAUUGUUAGUUGCCAACGGGUAAUGCCGGGGACUCUAACGAAACUGCCGGUGUAAACCGGAGGAAGGUGGGGAUGACGUCAAGUCAGCAUGGCCCUUAUGUCCAGGGCUACACACGUGUUACAAUGGUCAGUACAAAGGGCAGCUACUACGCAAGUAGAUGCUAAUCUCUAAAGCUGAUCUCAGUUCGGAUUGAAGUCUGCAACUCGACUUCAUGAAGAUGGAUUCGCUAGUAAUCGCGCAUCAGCAAUGGCGCGGUGAAUACGUUCCCGGGCCUUGUACACACCGCCCGUCAAGCCAUGGGAGUCGGAGGUACCUGAAGUCCGUAACCGUUAAGGAGCGGC
rnacentral:rRNA from 1 species